GGUCCGUUGGUCAAGGGGUUAAGACACCGCCUUUUCGCGGCGGUAACACGGGUUCGAAUCCCGUACGGACUA
rnacentral:tRNA from 2 species